AUGAAUAUUCAAGGCUAACCCCUUACUUUUUGAUUGAAAUGUCAAUUUUAAAAGAAAAUUUAAUUUUUGGCCAAAAAAUUAUAAAAGUACAAGGUUAACCCCUUACUUUUUUGAUUGAAAUGUCCAUUUCUAAGAGAAUUAAGUUUUUGGCUCAAAUGUUAUAAAAGUACAAGGUUAACCCCUUACUUUUUGAUUGAAAUGUCCAUUUUUAAGAGAAUUUAGUUUUUGGCUCAUAUUUUAUAAAAGUACAAGGUUAACCCCUUACUUUUUGAUUGAAAUGUCCAUUUUUAAGAGAAUUGAGUUUUUGGCUCAAAUGUUAUAAAAGUACAAGGUUAACCCCUUACUUUUUGAUUGAAAUGUCCAUUUUUAAGAGAAUUUAGUUUUUGGCUCAUAUUUUAUAAAAGUACAAGGUUAACCCCUUACUUUUUGAUUGAAAUGUCCAUUUUUAAGAGAAUUGAGUUUUUGGCUCAAAUGUUAUAAAAGUACAAGGUUAACCCCUUAC